UUUCAUACUAUUUUGAUAAUAAUUAUUGUGAUAAUUUUACUGUAAUUUUAAAAAUUAGCAUUGUUUAGAAUGCCUUUAUGUUUGAUUUUAUUGUUUUUCAAAAACAAGAUGUUUUAGUUUGUUUUGAUUAGACUUGAAAAAUUCAAGUUAGACAAUUAAUGGAAGUGUUGUGUGGGUCUAUUAGUGAAUGUUUCAAGAAAUGGAGAGCAAUGACACAACGACCCAUUUAACAAUCUCUCUCUUCCUUUCUUCUACCCACUCCCCUUCUUGGUUUUGAUUUGAGCGCACUGUUUGAUCAAAUGCAAGGUAGAUCGAUUGACGCAACCAACGAGAAAGAGAUCGGUAAGACUUCGAACUCGCUGUACAAUAUUUUUUCCCGAUCGUUGUUGAUUAUGUUGUGUUUUUCCCUUUCUCUACUCUUGCCGGAAAGGUGACUACUAUCGGUAUCUUGCUGAGUUUAAGACUGACCAGGAAAGAAAAGAGAUCUCCCUUUAACACACCCAAUUCGUCUUGGCCUUGCUCUCAACUUCUCUGUCUUUUAUUAUGAGAUUAUGAAUUCCCUUGAGAGGAAAGGUGACUACUACUGGUAUCUUGCUGAGUUUAAGACUGACCAGGAAAGAAAAGAGAUUAUUCUUAUGAGAUUAUCUUGCUGGUACAUAUGCCUUGGCUUGAAGGAGUGUUUGAUUAGCUCAUAAAAAGUUGUUGUGACUUUGUUUGCCGCAAUGGUUGAUUAGGCUUCAUUUACAUGUAGCUAUCUUCUGGAUUAUUAGCUAGGUUCAGAACUACGAAGAGCGAGUACUUUAUUUUUUUAUGACUCGAAAAAUUCAGAUCAUACAAUGAAUGGAAGUGUUGUGUGGGUCUAUUAGUGAAUUUUUCAAGAAAUGGAGAGCAAUGGCACAACGGCCCAUUAAACAAAAAAUGAGUUAUGCAUUAUCACAAGGAUGGAAACUCAAAGGAGCAUGAUCAUCCAAAAAGGAUACUUCGCACAAGGUCAUUGAUCCAUAUUGGAAACAUUGGGUUACGUUGCUUCUACCAGUGUGUUAUUGGUUGGCUCUCUCAUGUUAAAUUAUUUAUUUAUUUAUUUUUGGGUUAGCUAGGAUGAUUCUUUUGUAUCAUAAUGUUCAUUGACCUUUAUUUGAAGGAAUUUAAACCUGAUAAAGCGAUAGGGUUACCAGUUGUAAUACUAAUUCAAUAACAUUCUUUUAUUGAAGGUUAUCACAUUCUAACUUGCUA